GGGGAAUCUUCCGCAAUGGACGAAAGUCUGACGGAGCAACGCCGCGUGAGUGAUGACGGCCUUCGGGUUGUAAAGCUCUGUUAAUCGGGACGAAUGGUUCUUGUGCAAAUAGUGCGAGGAUUUGACGGUACCGGAAUAGAAAGCCACGGCUAACUACGUGCCAGCAGCCGCGGUAAUACGUAGGUGGCAAGCGUUGUCCGGAAUUAUUGGGCGUAAAGCGCGCGCAGGCGGAUCAGUUAGGCUGUCUUAAAAGUUCGGGGCUUAACCCCGUGAUGGGAUGGAAACUGCUGAUCUAGAGUAUCGGAGAGGAAAGUGGAAUUCCUAGUGUAGCGGUGAAAUGCGUAGAUAUUAGGAAGAACACCAGUGGCGAAGGCGACUUUCUGGACGAAAACUGACGCUGAGGCGCGAAAGCCAGGGGAGCGAACGGGAUUAGAUACCCCGGUAGUCCUGGCCGUAAACGAUGGGUACUAGGUGUAGGAGGUAUCGACCCCUUCUGUGCCGGAGUUAACGCAAUAAGUACCCCGCCUGGGGAGUACGACCGCAAGGUUG
rnacentral:rRNA from 1 species